AGCGAACGCUGGCGGCAGGCCUAACACAUGCAAGUCGAACGAAGUCUUCGGACUUAGUGGCGGACGGGUGAGUAACACGUGGGAACGUGCCUUUAGGUUCGGAAUAACUCAGGGAAACUUGUGCUAAUACCGAAUGUGCCCUUCGGGGGAAAGAUUUAUCGCCUUUAGAGCGGCCCGCGUCUGAUUAGCUAGUUGGUGAGGUAAAGGCUCACCAAGGCUACGAUCAGUAGCUGGUCUGAGAGGAUGACCAGCCACAUUGGGACUGAGACACGGGCCAAACUCCUACGGGGGGGAGCAGGGGGGAAUCUUGCGCAAUGGGCGAAAGCCUGACGCAGCCAUGCCGCGUGGAUGAUGAAGGUCUUAGGAUUGUAAAAUCCUUUCACCGGUGAAGAUAAUGACUGUAGCCGGAGAAGAAGCCCCGGCUAACUUCGUGCCAGCCGCCGCCGUAAUAC
rnacentral:rRNA from 1 species